ACCUGUUCGGCCCCAGACACGGACCGUAACUGUUUCGCGUUAUUCGUGCAGCCUCCUCUGUCACAACUCCAAUUAAUAUUGUCUGCCGCAUUCCACCACGCCUUCCCAGCUCUUAAUGAGAAUAAAGUGGUCCAAAGGUGACUGGUGGGGACAUUGGGAUGUGAAUGGGCCACGUGCGCAAUGUAUCCAUACUUCCACAUUCCAUUUUGUCCAAAUGGAUACAAAAUGUAUCGAGUACUCACUGGCAGCGAGAUACAGCCGAAAUCGCGCUGUUGUCUUUGAUCGCUUCCUUCCCCUCCGGUUGAAGCUGAAUUGCGACUGAACGACGGCGUCACAGCUCCGCUGAGAGAGGAAUGGAUUCCAAUUAAAAUGGGGAGGGAAUACAAAACCAGCGAGCUGCGUUCAGAGAAAGCUUGAGUCACUGUGGCAACAGGCUGCGGACAUCCGCUCCGCCCUCCGUCUGUCGCCACCCCCCUGGAAAUCGCGCUCUGUGCAGGGAGUGAGUGACGGCGGUGUCUCCUCCUCCAAGCACUGGCCAGAUCACACAAGAAAAGCUUCUCUCCGAACAAGACGGAGGGUUCAAAUACAGAACAAUUCUGGAUAGUGCAUGUAAGAGGGAGACCGGAAACCAAGCUGAUUAAAGAUUCAGAUCACUUAUUAUUGGAAAUAUUUGUAUAUUUACAGCUGUAAAUUGUGCAUGAGAUUAGAAUAUUCCCUCCCAAGUAUGUAUUUUCCAUAGGCGGGCGUGAGUUUACAUCAUAUUCCACAGUUCAAAUGCGGCGAAAGGAUUAGUCAAUUAUACCCCAGGAGUCAAGAUUGAAAAUUGUUUAUUGUCAUCCUUCAGCACACGAGUAUAAAAGAGAACGAAGUGAUUGUUACUCCGGAUCCGAUGCAGCAUAAAAAUAUACAGGUUAGAAAGUUUACCCAACCUUGACCAUUGUGGUUAAGACCAUAAGACAUGGGAGAAGAAUUAGGCCAUUCAGCCCAUCAAGUCUGCUCUGCUAUUCCAUCAUGGCUGAUCCCAGAUCCCACUCAGCCUUCUUGUCAUAUUCUUUGAUGCCCUGACCAAUCAAAAAAUGAUCAACUUCCACUUUGGCCUCGGCCUCCACCACAGACUGUGGCAGAGCAUUCUACAGAUUCACUAUUCGCUGGCUAAAAAAAUACUCCUUACCUCUGUUCCAAAAAGUCAUCCCUCAGUUUUGAGGCUGUGCCCUCUAGUUCUGGAUACCUUCACCAUAGGAAACAUCCUCUCCACAUCCAUUCUAUCUAGUCCUUUCCAGAUUCAGUAGGUUUCAAUGAGAUCCACCGCCCCCCGCCCCCCCCCCCCGGCAUUCUUCUAAAUUCCAGUGAGUACAGGCCCAAAGCUGCCAAACAUUCCCCACAUUACCCCUUCUCUCUCAGAAUCAUCCUCGUGAACCUCCUCUGGACUCUCUCCAAUGACAACACAUCCUUUCUGAGAUAAGAGGCCCCAAACUGUUGACAAUACUCCAAGUGCAGCCUGAUAAGUAUCUUAUAAAGCCUCAGCAUUAUCUUCUUCUGACUAUAUUCUAUUCCCCUUGAAAUAAAUGCCAACAUUGCAUUUGCCUUCUUUACCACAGACUCAACCUGUAAAUUAAUCUUGUGGGAGUCUUGCACGAGGACUCCUAAGUCCCUCUGCACAUCUGAACCUUCUCCCCAUUUAGAUAAUAGUCUGCACUAUUGUUCCUUUUACCAAAGUGCAUUAUCAUACAUUUCCCAACACUAUAUUCCACCUGCCACUUCUUUGCCCAUUCUUUCUAUUUGUCUAACUCCUGCUGUAAUCGCAUUGCUUCCUCAGCACUACCUACUCCUCUGCCUAUCUUUGUAUCAUCCGCAAACUCUGCCACAAAGCCAUCAAUUCCAUUAUCCAAAUCAUUGACAAACAAUGUGAAAAGUUUUGGUCCCAAUACUGACCUCUGAGAAACAUCACUGGCAGCCAACCAGAAAAGUCCCUUUUGAUUUCCACUCGCUGCCUCCUGCCUGUCAGCCACUCCUCUAUCCAUGCCAGUAUCUUUCUUGUAACACCAUAGGAUUUUAUCUUGUUAAGCAGCCUCUUGUGUGGCACCUUAUCAAAUACCUUCUGAAAAUCUAAGUAAAUGACAUUCACUGCCUCUCCUUUGUCCAUCCUGCUCGUUACUUCCUUGAAGAACUUUAACAGAUUUGUCAGGCAAGAUUCCCCUUCACAGAAACCAUGCUGACUUUGACUUAUUUUAUCAUUCGUCUCCAAGUACCCUGAAACCUCAUCCUUAAUAAUCGACUCCAACACUUUCCCAACCACUGGAGUUAGGCUAACGAGCCUAUAAUUUACUUUCUUUUGCUUCAUCCCUUCUUAAAGAGUAACAUUUGCAAUCUUCCAGUCCUCUGAGAUCAUGCCAGAAUUCAAGUGAUUGUUGAAAGAUCAUGACCAAUGUAUCUGUUAUCUCUUCAGCAACCUCUUUCAGAACUCAGGUGUGUAUUCCUCCUGGUCCAGGUGACUUAUCCACCUUAAGUCCUUUGAUAUUGUCUAGCACUUUUUCCUUUGUAAUAGCAAUAGCACUUACUCCUGAUCCCUGACACUCUCAAGCUUCUGGCACACUUCUGGUGUCUUCCACAGUGAAGACAGAUGCGAAGUACCCAUUUAGUUCAUCUUCCAUUUCUUUGUCCCCCAUUACUACCUCACUAGACAUGAGGAAAUCAGCAGAUGCUGGAAAUUCAAACAACACACACAAAAUCCUGGUGGAAUGCAGCAGGCCAGGCAGCAUCUAUAGGAAGAAGUA